UACGUAGGGGGCAAGCGUUGUCCGGAUUUAUUGGGCGUAAAGGGCGCGUAGGCGGAUCAGCAAGUCCGGGGUGAAAUCUUUCGGCUCAACCGGAAAAGUGCCUUGGAUACUGCUGGUCUUGAGGGAGGUAGGGGCAUGUGGAACUUCCGGUGGAGCGGUGAAAUGCGUAGAGAUGUGGAGGAACCCCAGUGGCGAAGGCGACUCUUUGGCCUGUAACUGACACUGAGGCGCGAAAGCGUGGGGAGCAAACAGG
rnacentral:rRNA from 1 species